rnacentral:rRNA from 1 species
GAUGAACGCUGGCGGCGUGCCUAAUACAUGCAAGUCGAGCGAACAGAUGAGGAGCUUGCUCCUCUGACGUUAGCGGCGGACGGGUGAGUCACACGUGGAUAACCUACCUAUAAGACUGGGAUCACUUCGGGAAACCGGAGCUAAUACCGGAUAAUAUAUUGAACCGCAUGGUUCAAUAGUGAAAGACGGCUUUGCUGUCACUUAUAGAUGGAUCCGCGCCGCAUUAGCUAGUUGGUAAGGUAACGGCUUACCACGGCAACGAUGCGUAGCCGACCUGCGAGGGUGAUCGCCCACACUGGAACUUAGACACGCACCAUGCGCCUACGGGAGGCAGCAGUAGGCAAUCUGCGGCAGUGGUCGAAAGCCUUACGGAGCAACGCCGCGUGUGAUAUGAAGGUCUUCGGAUCGUAAUACUCUGUUAUUAGGGAAGAACAAAUGUGUAAGGAACUAUGCACUUCGUGACGGUACCUAAUCAGAAAGCAACGGCUAACUACGUG